GGCUGUCCUCUCCGCAUGGUGCUUCCCAGCCGAGGGGGCCACUGCCCACAGUGGGGCCUGGCCUGAUGCAGACUUGCCCGGGUAACAAAGCAGCCCCGACACGUCUGCCUGCAGCAGCGGGUCUGUCCAGUCUGGGCUGUGCUGAGGCUCCAAGGAUGGGUCCUUCCGGACAACUUCAGGGGAGCUCCAGGACGACAGGUUUGGCUGCUGUAAUUUACAAGUUUCCGAGUUGGUGUCCCUGGAGGCCACGGAAUGCACGCGGUGGUCCAGUUCCUCCUGAAGUUGUCUCACCUGGGCCAUGAGAUUGGCCUUGCCCAGGGGACAGUCUUCCAGUUCUUCCUUAGCCUGUGUGAGAGAACAUGGAAAUGAACAGGGAGAAACCCUGCCUCGAAAAACCAAAAACCAAAACCAACAAAUAAAUAAAAAUAAAUAAAUAAAAAUAAAAGAGUUCCAAAGCUAGAGAGACACAUUGGCAGGGACAAUGGAAAUCAAUCAUGGCUAAAAAUCUCAAAGAUUUUUGGAUUUGGAAAGUGGAGCAAAUUGGUGUUCAAAUGAACAGGGGUUAUGUAAGCAGACUGCAGCAAACAUGAAUAAAGCUUGUAAGAGACUGCAGAGCGCACAAGGAGAGUCCAUACACCAGGGGUUAGGGACUCUGAGGCGUCUCUAAGGAGGCUUCUCACCUCUCACCUCGGAGAAGCAACCCUGUCAUGAUGUACCUGGCCCUCAACUGUAGAGCAGGCCCAGCCCACCUUACCCCAAGCCCACGCGGCCGCUUCCCUUCAAGAACCCUGCUGUCAUCCUCUGUGCUCAAGGGCACUGCCUUUCUCACUAAGAGCAUCUGCUCCUAGCCGCCUCUGGCAGACUGCGAGUUCUGAUGUCAUACUGUCGGCCGGUGGAGGUUGGCAUCCUUUAGUGUCACAGGACUUCGGCAGACUGUAGGUUAUCCUUGACCAGGGGAAACCAGAGAACUUCUACAGCAGUGCUCCUUGCCUUCCUAAUGCUGUGACCUUCAGUACAAGCUCCUCAUGCUGUGGUGUUACAACCUUGGUGAAUGUCAUCAUCAGACAUGCUGAGCUGACCUGCCUGAACUCCUGAUGCCUUGGUUUUCGUCCGGAUCCAGUCAGGACACAGACAUCAGAGACAAUCAUUGGUGUGGCCUUCUUAAGGCCAACGAAUUUUCCCAUUCUCCCUACCUUUUCCCCUCUUCAAAAAUAUCCCAACGCCCAUAUUCAGCUUGAAGAAGUUAUGAAGCGUCGUCAUCCCGGUUCCCCAGGCUUUGGGACUGGGAGUGGUUAGUAGAGGUUGUCUUUGAUACUAAAAAUUUUGAAGUACAAGGCUUAGACCCAGUUCUUCUAUUGCUGUUAUUAUAAACAGAUCUGAGAUGUUUAAGCCUGUGAGUUAAGGGCCAAAUAGAACAUUCAUGGCUCUGAGUUUACUGUUAGGGUGUUUUCAGUCACUUUAAUCAGAAAGGGCUGAGAGUAGUUAGCAGAACAGUCUAGAUUACUUCACAUAGAUAAGUUGGUUUUCAAAAACGUUAGAAGUCCACAGAAUGUACCGUUUAAUGUUAUUUAUUCACUUGUUGUUGAGACCAGUCUGCUCCUGACAGCUUUCCCUGUCUCGGAUUCAAAGAAGAAACUGAGCAUCUUUGAGUUACUCCAGUUGUGGCAAGAUAGCCACUAGGCAAGAAUUGCCUCAUUUCAUCUACAGACAUAAAACUGUCCAAAGAGGACACAAUUACAGGUUAGGACAGCUUGAUUCUGCCGAGACAGAAUAGGCUAGUCCUUACUAUUCCUGUUUCUCUAAGUCUGUCAGAUGACCCUGGCCAGUAGGCUAAAGACCAAUGCUCCAACGUGUUGAAGUAAGGGACUGUCCAAGUGAUCAGCAGUCUCUCUAAAAUGGCUAAGUUUGGGAAGCUGUGUUAGAAACAGUAAAGAAGGGGAAAAAUUGACUCAAGAGGUCACAAGCUGACUGCUGUCCCUGGUGGAGACAGAGAGAGAACUUCACAGAACAUCUGCACAUGGAAGCCUGCACCACAAGCAGGCCUGGCUGUCCUGAAAUUGCUCGGUGGACCAGAGUGCCCUUGAACUCAGAGAUCCGAAUGCCUCUCGAGUGCUUGGGAUUAAAGGCAUGUGCUGUGCCCUCUCUGUUACAUCUGGUUGGGCUUCCGGACCCCUAGAAGAGCUGCCUUGGGGAAGCAUAGGACACCCAGCUUCAUCCAGCCCGGACCGUGAUACAGUUGUUAGCAGUUCAGUGAGUUCAAGUCACAGAAUAAGGUCGCCACAGCCCUGAGGUGAGCUGCAGGAAGUGAGGGCAGCAGGGUGGGAAUCCUGAACUUGCAGGUUGAACAGGAGGAUCAAGGAAACAAGGGGAAGCUCAGGUUCCCGCCAGCACUGCUGAGACCUCCACUACCCUCAAGUGGGGCUCCUGUCUCGCUCGAGCUACGGACUACUGAGUAGCACCUCUCCUUGGCUCUCACUUUUGUAACGUCUGACGACAAAAAGCAAAGGAAAACUCCCACGUUCAAGUCCUGACCUAGAGCUCAAACACAGACACAACGGAGUCUAGGCAAUGCGACAGCCCUGUCUUGACAAGGCUACCCUGCUGCCCGGAGGUCACUAAGGACAUCUGCCCAGACCUGCUAUUGGGUUCAAGAUACAUGUCCCUUCCUUCAUUUCAAGCCACAUGCCCAAGAGAUGCUACAGCUCUGUGCAUGGCCUGCCCACACAGCCAUGCGGCCCAUCCACAUCCCACCACACCCAGCUUAGUACUGCGGCCCAACUAGGAACUCUACCUUUAAUUCUUCCAUGCUUUUCUUCUGUUUUUCCAGUUCUUCCUGGAGCUGGACCAUUUGUCUUUGUAUGCUGGCAUUUGUCUCCUCGAGGCGCUUAAUUUCUUCUUCUUGGAUUAGCAAUUGUUGAUCGGCAAAAUCUUUCUUUAUGACCAAUUCAUUAAACCCAUCUAAUUUUUCUCUCAGUUUUUCUUGUAACAACUCCACCUAAACACAGGAACAAAUAUAUGAGGAACACAAAACUUCCGGAUAAAACAGCCUGAGUCAGGCCAUGCCCCUUUAAGCUCUCCCUGGAAGCAGCAGGAAGCAGUCAGU
rnacentral:lncRNA from 1 species